AAGAUGUUCCAUCUCUUGCACACUGAGUCAUAUUCCUCACUACAACUGGAAAUGACUUGGUGUGCAAGGUAUGGCAUAUCUU
rnacentral:pre_miRNA from 1 species